rnacentral:rRNA from 1 species
UACGGAGGGUGCAAGCGUUAUCCGGAUUCACUGGGUUUAAAGGGUGCGUAGGUGGGCAGGUAAGUCAGUGGUGAAAUCUCCGGGCUUAACCCGGAAACUGCCGUUGAUACUAUCUGUCUUGAAUGUAGUGGAGGUGAGCGGAAUAUGUCAUGUAGCGGUGAAAUGCUUAGAUAUGACAUAGAACACCAAUUGCGAAGGCAGCUCGCUAGACUAUUAUUGACACUGAGGCACGAAAGCGUGGGGAUCAAACAGG